rnacentral:rRNA from 1 species
UGGGGAAUAUUGCACAAUGGAGGGAACUCUGAUGCAGCGACGCCGCGUGAGUGAUGAAGGACUUCGUUUCGUAAAACUCUGUUCUAUGGGAAGAAAAGGACUGUACCAUAGGAGAAAGCUCCGGCUAAAUACGUGCCAGCAGCCGCGGUAAUACGUAUGGAGCGAGCGUUGUCCGGAAUUAUUGGGCGUAAAGGGUGCGCAGGCGGCUUUACAAGUUGGAUGUGAAAUAUUGUGGCUCAACCACAAACGUGCAUCCAAAACUGCAAAGCUUGAGUUAAGGAGAGGUAAGUGGAAUUCCGGGUGUAGCGGUGGAAUGCGUAGAUAUCAGGAGGAAUACCGGUGGCGAAGGCGACUUACUGGACUUAAACUGACGCUCAGGCACGAAAGCGUGGGGAGCAAACAGG